rnacentral:rRNA from 1 species
AACCUGGUUGAUCCUGCCAGUAGUCAUAUGCUUGUCUCAAAGAUUAAGCCAUGCAUGUCUAAGUAUAAACAUUUUAUACUGUGAAACUGCGAAUGGCUCAUUAAAUCAGUUAUAGUUUAUUUGAUGGUACCUUACUACUCGGAUACCCGUAGUAAUUCUAGAGCUAAUACGUGCGUAACUCCCGACUUCUGGAAGGGAUGUAUUUAUUAGAUAAAAGACCGACCGGGCUUGCCCGUUUUCCGGUGACUCAUGAUAACUUCACGAAUCGCAUGGCCUUUGCGCUGGCGAUGUUUCAUUCAAAUUUCUGCCCUAUCAACUUUCGAUGGUAAGGUAGUGGCUUACCAUGGUGGUAACGGGUGACGGAGGAU